rnacentral:rRNA from 1 species
AUUGAACGCUGGCGGCAUGCCUUACACAUGCAAGUCGAACGGCAGCGCGGGAGCAAUCCUGGCGGCGAGUGGCGAACGGGUGAGUAAUACAUCGGAACGUGCCCAAUCGUGGGGGAUAACGCAGCGAAAGCUGUGCUAAUACCGCAUACGAUCUACGGAUGAAAGCAGGGGAUCGCAAGACCUUGCGCGAAUGGAGCGGCCGAUGGCAGAUUAGGUAGUUGGUGAGGUAAAGGCUCACCAAGCCUUCGAUCUGUAGCUGGUCUGAGAGGAUGAUCAGCCACACUGGGACUGAGACACGGCCCAGACUCCUACGGGAGGCAGCAGUGGGGAAUUUUGGACAAUGGGCGAAAGCCUGAUCCAGCCAUGCCGCGUGCAGGAUGAAGGCCUUCGGGUUGUAAACUGCUUUUGUACGGAACGAAACGGUCUUUUCUAAUAAAGAAGGCUAAUGACGGUACCGUAAGAAUAAGCACCGGCUAACUACGUG